UUAGAAGAGGAUUUCCAUAUCCAUCUUUCGUGCGGAGGACGCCUUGUCUUCAUUCAAACAAAAGCCGCUGGAGUUCCUCUUACAGCAUUCAUUUACACUGCCAGGAAUUUGCGAUCGAGAGAUUUUUCAGUCUACUGGAUUUUUUUAUUUUCAUUUUCUGACACCGAGCGAGCGUUUGGGCAGCCUCUCUUUCAAGGUAUGACUUCUAAAAUUGAAUUCCUCGUUGCUCCAAUUGUAUUUUUUUUUCUUUGAAUGAAUUGGUGUUUGAAUUCUGUUAUCUUCAUUCUUGGGUGGUGUUUGGUUUUGUUCUUGUUUGUGAUUGGGUAUUGUAUUGAAGGAUGUUUGUUAUGAAUUUUGGUUUUGGCAAUUCUUGCUGAUCAUAACUUGAUGACGAUGACGAUGACGAUGAUGGAUCCUACAGUGAAUUGAUUUUCCUAUGGGAAACUGAGUUUUCUCUGCUGCAUGAUAAGGUGGUACAUACUGCAAGCGGAACCCUUGUGCCUUGUAGAAUCCUUUUCACAUAAAGGUAGUUAUUACAAAUGGACGUCCCCCUCAUGGGUGAGGAUACUAGUACCUAUCUGUCCAGAAAUGGAAGGAAGACGCCUUUUCAUAUUUUUCUCAACGAUGCAAGGUACCUUUUUGUUAUGUUGCUUAUAGAGGAAAUUUCUCAUCCAAGAAAUGCAUUGCGGUGAUUUCAUCGCUGGUGGGGAUUUGAGGAAUCACAAUAUGUAGAGACUUCAAAGAAAUGACAGUAAUUCGUUCCAA